UACGGAGGAGGCAAGCGUUAUCCGGAAUUAUUGGGCGAAAAGCGUCCGCAGGUGGCACCUCAAGUCUGCUGUCAAAGACCGGGGCUUAACCCCAGAAAGGCAGUGGAAACUGAAGUGCUAGAGUGCAGUAGGGGUAGAGGGAAUUCCCGGUGUAGCGGUGAAAUGCGUAGAGAUCGGGAAGAACAUCGGUGGCGAAAGCGCUCUGCUGGACUGCAACUGACACUCAGGGACGAAAGCUAGGGGAGCGAAUGGG
rnacentral:rRNA from 1 species